CCUUGGUUAGGACCUCUAGUCUCAUCGCUUUACAGUAGCAUCCCCCUGAAUGCUUUUAUGCCUGCUUCCCAUUUCUCUCUGUAAAUAGAUGUCCGGUCCUUGAAGAGAGUUGCAGCUUUGGGAGGGGAUUUGUGUGCAAAGUAGGCCUCAAAACAAAAUAUCCUUCCGUUUCUUUCUCUCCCCACCGUCUAGCAGAUGACGGUUACUAGGCAGUCCCAGGUUACUUUUGCAAUGUGUAGGGGAAUCUGAUUUCUCCGCUGGUUCCAUCGCCGUUCCAUUGAUUUUGAUGUGAUGGAAAUUUUUGUUUAUCUGCUGCAUACUGCCACUGAAACAUUUCAUGAUUGGCGAAGGAUGCGUUUGGUUAC
rnacentral:lncRNA from 1 species